AUUGACUGCAAAUACAUUCUGAAAAUUGAAUUGUUUGAAAUUCUUAGUAUAUGCAAUUCUGUAAAUUGUAUCUGUAUGUAUGUGAAGGUCUUUUCAAAAUGGAGCAGAAAGAAAAGAACAGAGCUUUUGAUUUAGCUUAGUAGAGAAAGACUGAAACACAUUUCAUUUAUAUCACAGGAAUGGAUGCCUUGGUGUCUGCAUUUUAUUCCGAGGAGAAAACACAUCCAGAGAAAAAACAAGAAUGAGUUGUCUAACUAGGUUAGCUAUCCACCUAUGUAUUUCUCUUUUUAUUCUAUGUAUUCAUUACUCAUUUCAGUUACUCUUCAUCUCUUAAAUUAUUAUAGAAACAAAUAUCUUUUUGGGCUGUUGUGUGCAAAUCAUAUUUGAAGUUUCCAUGCACAACGAGGACGAUUAUGUGCCUCUUUUAAGUCAUCCACGGUCAGAUUCAUUCUUGUCUUGGCUCUUACUUGGGCAAAAACUGGAAUAUCCUCUUUGGGAAUGAUGUUAGUCAGAAACUCAAUAUUAAUUUUGCACUUUAAGAAAGAGUCAAGUUUGUUAUGUAGCAUUAUAUUUGGCUCAGAUAGUUCUUGGAUGCCUUCCACGGGUCGAUGGGACGUUUUGCUCACCUUGCAAAAGUAAAGCAAUGAAGAAAUUUGUAAGGUGGGAACACUCGAAUCUCAGAGGUAAGUGUGCCAUGCUCUCCCUCUUGCGAUAUCGAAACUGGUUGCUCAUGUGAUUUUAGAAAAUUAUAAUUCAAGCAUGGAUGAAGCUUUGGCAUAAACGAUGCCACUUAUAAGCUACAAAGCAGGAGGGCUUAAUUGCUUAACUAACAAGGUUUAUUUAUACAUCUUAAGGUGGAUUCAACUUGCAAACCUCACAGAAUGAUCCCCAGCUGAUAGAGACUGGAUGCAUACUUUCAUCAGUUGAACCAAUUACUCAUGGAAGGAAUAAAAGAUCCAAGCUAGGAAGGCAUGUUUCAAAGGCACAAGCAUAAGUCUUGGAAUAAUUGCUAUUGGUGGUUAAAAAAUUCAUGUAUGUCGAUGUGAUGUCUAUGAAAGAUGUUAAAUCUGCUUGAUGUAUAUGUCUAAUCUUUAUGUUGGCGAACAGGUGGAUGUUGACUACAUUAACAUUUCCUUGUGUUGCCUUAUUAGUGUAUGCCAAAAGAUGCAAAUCGUGUGGAAAUGCAAGAACAUGAGCUUCUGUUCUUUGCUUU